rnacentral:misc_RNA from 1 species
GAUGAAGAACGUAGCGAAAUGCGAUAAGUAAUGCGAAUUGCAGAAUUCAGUGAAUCAUCGAAUCUUUGAACGCACAUUGCGCCCGCCAGUAUUCUGGCGGGCAUGCCUGUCUGAGCGUCGUUUCGACCCUCGCGCCCGGCUUCUGUCGGGGGCGGUGUUGGGGAUCGGCCACACCCUUCAGUGGGAGGCCGGCCCCUAAAUUCAGUGGCGACCACGCUGUAGCCUCCCCUGCGUAGUACUAAAACCACCUCGCAGGCGGAGAGCGGUGCGGCCCGCCGUAAAACCCCCCAACUUUUACAAGGUCGACCUCAGAUCAGGUAGGAAUACCCGCUGAACUUAAGCAUAUCAAAGCGGAGGA